rnacentral:misc_RNA from 1 species
AACGCACAUGGCACUCGCUACCUCGGUGGCGAGUAUACCUGUUUGAGAAUCGGCUCCAAUCUACCAUCCCCGGAUGGUGACGUGACAGCUCUUGGCCCCCCGGGGCCAAGUCCGUCCAAAUCGAGCGUGUGGGGCUGGCUGGACUGUGCGUCCGCGCCGUGUGGUACUGGACCCUGCGUCCUUGCGAUCACGGAUGCAACGUGGACGGGCAGAGCGGCCGGCACCGAAACCCGCACGACCACCGGGAGUCUCCUCCCGGUCAUACGGACCUCGGGCCGUGACUUUCGAUCUCAAAUCAGGCAAGGCUACCCGCUGAACUUAA